CCCCUCCCCACUUGUGUUAGUGGGGUGGGGGUUUAAUUAUUAUUAUUAUUUUAAAAACAAAACGGAUAAUUCCGAAUUAAGGACUUUGACUGCAGCCACCUGACAGAGGAGGGGAUCACAAUGUGACUGAUGACUAAUUGAGCAGCGGAUGUGUAAUUUGUCAUUAUUAAAGGCGUUUGUGCUGCCAGCUGCUCCUGCUGGAGGCUCGGCUGCGGCUCAGGGAGAUGGUGGAUCCAACACUGCCACCUUCUGCUAACUCAGCGCCAAGAGCAGUGAUACUGGAGCUGCUGGUGUAAGGCAAGACACCAUUGCCGAGGAAAGCAGUGCAGAGCUCAGAUAGGAGCAAAGUCAUAACAUGUUGCACCUCCCUGAAGUGCUUCGCAGCUGGAGAUGCCUGUUGCUUCUGGCAUAUCGCAGGAGGACUGGUUGGUGAGAGGGUCUGCAGUGAAGAUCACAGAUUACUGUGAUUACUGUGAAUGGUUUUGCUAAAUAAGACUUGUCUAUUACUAAGUAAAAAAGCAGUUAGAAAGUGAUCCCACCACAGUAUUUGCUGCUCAGGCAGUUGUGACCAGCCAUCCACCAAGGGCUGCCCUCCAGCUCCUCCACAGAUUUGAAAUUCAAAUCGCUUGGAUGGCUCCUACUGCUGUUAGGCAGCCAAAAACCUCAAACUCCUAGUCUGCAUCCAUCCAUCUUUGAAAUUAUGAAGGGUGUGUUGGUGUGGGAAGGGGAAAGAAAUACCCUGACCUAGCACUGCCAGGAGCUGGUACGUGCGGCGGGUUGGGCUGGGGUACUUGCUGCUCACUCUGUCCUCAGCUCACCUCCCUCGCAGGGCUGUGGAGCUGGCAAUCAGAGCUUAUUUUUGAACUGCUUGGGUUUUGCUGCGUAUUUGCUUGGGUUUUGCUGUGUAUUUGCAAUUUCUAGGCCAUCCUAUGGCUGCUGAGUGGAAGAUCUGCUAUGUUGAUGCACGGUUUUCCUAUAAAAAAUUAAGAAGUCUGUGUAAGUACAGCUGAAUGCGCUUGCUGGCCUAAGCCAGAUGCCAAAAGGUACUGAAGGGCACGAAACUUAAACACAGGAAUUGGGCCUGAAUGCUGCUUUGGGACUUUGAAAAUGUGACUGAAAUUACUAAGCCACUUGGGCAUUACUGAACUCGUUCCCUUGGAGCUGUGUGAAUUCUGUCUGGCCAGAUUUGUAUUUCAUUUUCGGGCAGAGGUUGGAACGUGCAUUACCGUGACCAGGAAAAAGAGAAUUGCAUUAAGUAGUGAUGGGGGCACCGGGGCUAUUUUUCUUGCUGUAUGCCAGAAGGUGUUUGAAUAAAUUGAUGACACAUUUUUGUAUUGUU